rnacentral:tRNA from 1 species
CAGAGAAUAGUUUAUUAAAAUAUUAGUUUUGGGGACUGAUGAUAGGGUAGUUACCUUUUCUCUGA